AUGAAAGAGCCGCGCAACCUCGAGAGCUUGAGGGAGCUCAAAAUUAAGUUUGAGCAGAAUGUAAGCUGGUCAGAGUUGGAGGAAGCUUUCGUGGAGUGUCUAUCCAAGCUAAAGAAGAUCCAAAGUGUAGUUAUUCGUGGGUGUUUUCCAUCCAUAGAUCUCCUGGGAGAAGGCUGGGUUCCCCCUCCACACCUUCGCACAUUUGACUUGUUCAUGCUUGGCAAGUUCUCAAAAAUGCCAGCGUGGAUAGAAAGAGAGCCCUCCCUUCUUUGGAACCUUUCUGAGCUGAUCAUUGGUCUCAAGGAAGUCCAACCAGAGGACCUGAGGAUCCUCGGGAGCCUACCAACUCUUCGUAUCCUCGCGCUGCAUAGCGCCCAGCAGGCGCAAAGGCUGCUACCCGUUGGUGCCGACGCCGGGUUUCACUGGCUGGUAGCCUUCUCCUUGUACUGCGAGUCGCCUAGGCAGAUCAUGUUUCAGCAGGGAGCCUUGCCGAGGGCUGAAGCAGUUCUCUUCAAUUUCGGCAUGCGGAAGGCAAUUGAAGAUGGCAACGGUGGUUUUUUCUUCGGUCUGGGGAACCUUUCCUCUAUUAGGCGGCUGUAUGUUGGGAUUGAUCGUGACGGUGCCACGGUUGCGGAGGUGAAGGAAGCGGUGGCCAAGUUGCAGCACGCAGUCGGCGCCCACCCUAAUCAUCCCAGCAUUACUGCUGAUAUCAGGCCACCUAUUCAACCAGUCACCGAUGAUGAGGUACAACUACAAGCUCUUGAGUUUCGAUCACCCACCUGCAUGCUUCAAUUCCUUCCUUGUGGCGCUUCUUUCUUAUUGAAUGAAUUUUUCUUUCCGUCUUUGUCAGGUAAAAACAUUGAAUGA
rnacentral:rRNA from 1 species